AGAGUUUGAUCCUGGCUCAGAACGAACGCUGGCGGCGUGUCUUAAGCAUGCAAGUCGAGCGGCAAGGAAGUGCUUGCACUUCCCUAGAGCGGCGGACUGGUGAGUAACGCGUGGGUGAUCUACCUCGGGGUUGGGGAUAGCCAUUAGAAAUAGUGGGUAAUACCGAAUACGCUUCCAGGGCUACGGCCGUGGAAGGAAAGGCGCUACGGCGCCGACCUGAGAUGAGCCCGCGUCCCAUUAGCUAGUUGGUGAGGUAAAGGCCCACCAAGGCGAUGAUGGGUAGGCGGCCUGAGAGGGUGUACGCCCACAUUGGGACUGAGAUACGGCCCAAACUCCUACGGGAGGCAGCAGCUAAGAAUAUUCCGCAAUGGACGAAAGUCUGACGGAGCGACGCCGCGUGGAUGAUGAAGGCCGGGAGGUUGUAAAAUCCUUUUGCUGGGGAAGAAUAACCAUGGGAGGGAAUGCCCGUGUGAUGACAUGAACCGGCGAAUAAGCCCCGGCUAACUACGUGCCAGCAGCCGCGGUAACACGUAGGGGGCGAGCGUUGUUCGGAAUUACUGGGCGUAAAGGGCAUGUAGGCGGUUUUGUAAGCCUGACGUGAAAGGCUAUGGCUCAACCAUGGCAUUGCGUUGGGAACUGCGAGACUUGAGUCACGGAGAGGGAGCUGGAAUUCCAGGUGUAGGGGUGAAAUCUGUAGAUAUCUGGAAGAACACCAGUGGCGAAGGCGAGUUCCUGGCCGAUGAUUGACGCUGAGGUGCGAAAGUGUGGGGAUCAAACAGGAUUAGAGACCCUGGUAGUCCACACUGUCAACGAUGUGCACUAGGUGCUGGGGCGGAUGUUUCAGUGCCGGAGCUAACGCGGUAAGUGCACCGCCUGGGGAGUAUGCUCGCAAGGGUGAAACUCAAAGGAAUUGACGGGGGCCCGCACAAGCGGUGGAGCAUG
rnacentral:rRNA from 1 species